rnacentral:rRNA from 1 species
GACGAACGCUGGCGGCGUGCUUAACACAUGCAAGUCGAACGGACAGGCCCUGCUUUUGUGGGGUGCUCGAGUGGCGAACGGGUGAGUAACACGUGAGUAACCUGCCCUUGUCUUUGGGAUAACUUCAGGAAACUGGGGCUCAUACCGGAUAGGAGCUCCUGCUGCAUGGUGGGGGUUGGAAAGUUUCGGCGGUUGGGGCUGGACUCGCGGCUUAUGCGCUUGGUGGUGGGGUAGUGGCUUACCAAGGCUUUGACGGGUAGCCGGCCUGAGAGGGGGACCAGCCACAUUGGGACUAAGAUACGGCGCAGACGCCUACGGGAGGCAGCAGGGGGGAAUAUGGCACAAUGGGCGGAAGCCUGAUGCAGCAACGCCGCGUGCGUGAUGACGUCCUUCGGGUGGUAAACCGCUGUCGCCGGUAACGAGGCGUGAGUGACGGUAAUUGGUAAAGAAGCACCGGCUAACUACGUG